ACUACGCCUUGAGAAGGGCGCGCUGGGC
rnacentral:sRNA from 1 species